AAGGAUUUAGUUUAAUAAUAAAACAUUAAUUUGUCAAAUUAAAAAUAAAUUUAUUCAUUUAAUUCUUA
rnacentral:tRNA from 1 species